rnacentral:lncRNA from 1 species
GCAUGCCAUACAUAAAGUAUUUACUACUUUUGUCCUGAUCUUCUGCCUCUCUUUCUUUCCAGCUGUGGUCCUGCUGGUCAGUUUUGAUAUCAGUAGCAGCUCUCCAACAUUUAUCAUGUCAAAGCUCUGAAAAGGUGAAAGGUAUUGGCUGCCCCAAAGCUGCUGGCACUGAUAAUUAGAAAUACAAGUGAUGUGCUGCGAAAUAGCUGCAGUGUCAGUUCACUGUUCUUUUUAAUCAAAAGAUGUGAUAAACUCAAUGUGGCAAAGACACUGUCAUACCUGCUCAUUACUUGUUUUGAUCUCCAGAUUCUGAGUUUGGUUUUCAAAUUGAUUUUCUUAGAGUUCUGUGUGACUCUGAUAAAGACCUCUCCUUAUCUUUUUGUGAAGAUUUUUUUACAAAUGGAAGUGCUCUGUUUACAGGCAGAUAUCUCUGUAGCACAAUAG